rnacentral:lncRNA from 1 species
GUGGAGCUCGAGAUCUUCGCUAUGGUAAACUAGUCGUAAAUGCCAGUCUCCAGCUCCAAUGAUUCCAAAUUUAUGAGCUGAUGUGGCUGUACCACCGACCAUCUUUCAGCGAGAAGCACACCGCGUCUUUUUUCCUCCCGAAUGCUUUUCAGCAGCACUCAAUUUAAAAUUAUAAUGCUGCGGAAAUUUUCGUUAUGAGAUCGGUACAAAUGCCGCGUAGGAAUUUUAUAGCACUUUUAGGUUGAUUAAGCGACUGGGGUUAGUAGCUUCUGUUGUCCCUUUCUUAAUGUUGGCUUGAGACUAAGUGAUGGAGCCCAUGUGAGCACAAGCACUAAAGGAUAUUCGAAAUUAACUCGUGGUCGGUGAAGUAAGAAUGUGACGUAGUCCGAAGUUUUCCUCACUGAAGGAUGAUCCAUGAGAACUUUGCGAAGCUGGUGUUAACGAUUCCAGCACCCACUAGCUCAACAACUAGCUUUGCAAAAAUUUGAAUACCCUGCGAUUGAAGUAAAACAACCUUUGUGUGAAACUUAUCCGGUUGUCAGAAAUUUGCCGCAACAUUUUUGAAGCUUUUACGAUAUAUCGCUCCUACUUCCUUGAAAGGUAAUUGCAGAUGAACUACUACCCCGAUGAACUGGGUUGUGUAAAGGUUCAAGUUUUGCGUAAUCGAGCCAAGUUCUGGUGAUGAUUUUGUUAAAUGCACCAUUUCCAAAAGUUGACCUGCGAAGCCUCCAGUUGACCCAAUCGACACAAGUUUAGACUCUGGAUCGCGGAAUCGCAU